GCAGCAAAUCCCUUCAUCCUACCCGAAGCCCUGAUCUUUUGGGCCAUCGUCAUCAUGGGGAUCACCAUCGUCGAGCUCCCCUAUGGGAAGUACGACGUCGAGCUGAUCCUCGCUGUCGCCCUCUUUUACGAUCGGUCGGAGGUGUUCGAAGCCCUGGUCACUGCCUGCCUCUUCGCCACCUAAAAAUUAUAAUGUUUGUGGAGCAAAGAAGAGACUU
rnacentral:lncRNA from 1 species